rnacentral:rRNA from 1 species
UACGGGGGUGCAAGCGUUGUUCGGAAUCAUUGGGCGUAAAGAGCGUGUAGGCGGCUGAGCAAGUCAGAUGUGAAAUCCCUGGGCCUAACCCAGGAAGUGCAUUUGAAACUGUUCAGCUUGAGUAAGGAAGAGGGAAGUGGAAUUCCUGGUGUAGAGGUGAAAUUCGUAGAUAUCAGGAGGAACACCGGUGGCGAAGGCGACUUCCUGGUCCUAUACUGACGCUGAGACGCGAGAGCGUGGGGAGCAAACAGGAUUAGAUACCCU